CACUUGUUAAGGUGGGCUGCAAAUUUGUGUUAUUUUCUCUCAAUCAGAUUCUGUGAAGAAAUUAGAGAUGGCUUAUGCUGCUGUAUUAUCUCUCAGUCAGAUUCUGAAGCAGAUAUCAAAUCCUCAUCUAGAACAACAUCAGACGCCUCUUCAGGACCAAUAAAUUAAAUCUCUCCAGGAGAAGUUUAGUUUCUUACUUGAUUUUCUGGAUGAUUCUUGGCAAAGAAAGAACGAGAAAGUACAAUGUUUGGAAAGGGAA
rnacentral:lncRNA from 1 species